GACGAACGCUGGCGGCGUGCUUAACACAUGCAAGUCGAACGGAAAGGCCCUGCUUUUGUUGGGUGCUCGAGUGGCGAACGGGUGAGUAACACGUGAGUAACCUGCCCUUGACUUUGGGAUAACUUCAGGAAACUGGGGCUAAUACCGGAUAGGAGCUCCUGCUGCAUGGUGGGGGUUGGAAAGUUUCGGCGGUUUGGGAUGGAUUCGCGGCUUAUCAGCUUGUUGGUGGGGUAGUGGCGUACCAAGGCUUUGACGGGUAGCCGGCCUGAGAGGGUGACCGGGCACAAUGGGCCUGAGAGACGGCCCAGACUGCUACGGGACGCAGCAGUGGGGAAUAUUGCAGAAUGGGCGGAAGUCUGAUGUAGCAACGUCGCGUGCGGGAUGACGGCCUUCGGGUUGUAAACCGCUUUCGCCUGUGACGAAGCGGGAGUGACGGUAAUGGGUAAAGAAGCACCGGCUAACUACGUG
rnacentral:rRNA from 1 species